UUUUUUGUGUGUGUGUCCAAUCCAUUUUAAUUUUUUUUUUUUUUUUUUUUUUUUUGUUUUUUUUUGUUACGUUUUUUUUCACUUUUAAGUUAGGUUAAACACACACACACAAAAAUUAGUCACCAUUAUCUGUACAUAUGAUUCUUCGACCCUAGAAGAAACAAAAAAAAAACAAACCUAGAAACAAUGAAUUUAGAAAUUUUUUAAAAACUUAGAGAAAAAUCGAAUAGAAUCUCAGAUCAUUUAUAUAUUUGAUAAAAUUAUCGAUCUGAUGAUUUGCUGCUGCUGCUGCUACUCUGUAUUGAUCUAAUAAACGAAACGAAAAGAAACGAAUUUACUUUUUUUGGUUGAUAAUCUACCACCUUUCAAUCUAGAAUAUCCAAUCUACUUAUUUAGAAUUUAAUGUUGUAAAAAAA